rnacentral:rRNA from 1 species
CUACGGGCUGCUCCAGUGAGGAAUAUUGCACAAUGGGGGGAACCCUGAUGCAGCAACGCCGCGUGGAGGAUGACGCAUUUCGAUGUGUAAACUCCUUUUAUAUGUCAAGAAAAUGACGGUAGCAUAUGAAUAAGCACCGGCUAACUCCGUGCCAGCAGCCGCGGUAAUACGGAGGGUGCAAGCGUUACUCGGAAUCACUGGGCGUAAAGGACGCGUAGGCGGGUUGGAAAGUCAGGUGUGAAAUCCUACAGCUUAACUGUAGAACUGCACUUGAAACUUCUAAUCUAGAGUAUGGGAGGGGGAGAUGGAAUUAGUGGUGUAGGGGUAAAAUCCGUAGAUAUCACUAGGAAUACCUAAAGCGAAGGCGAUCUCCUGGAACAUUACUGACGCUAAGGCGUGAAAGCGUGGGGAGCAAACAGGAUUAGAUACCCUAGUAGUC